rnacentral:lncRNA from 1 species
AAUAGGCAUGUGCCAUUUAGAAGGUCGCACAGCGAGCCUCGAAACAUGCCAGAACCUUAACGAGAAACACUGAAAUGCAGAAGAAAUCAGAAGGAACCGCGCUCCCAACACGCACGGCCCCGCCACGCAGCAGCAUCCUAUGGGGCAGGGAGCAGCCAAUGCUCGUGGGGCUGCUCACAGGGAAGUGAACGCUGCCUUUCAUAAAAGCUGACUCCUCUACCCCAAAUAAAAAACAUUCCCUGCCUUGAAGAACAACAUUUUUUUAAUUAUUAUUUCAAAGUACCCUGUUCAGCAGCAGAGCAUACAAAUACUCAUAGCUACGCAAAUAGCAACUCUUUAUUUGCUUUGUUUGCUCAGCUAAUAUUGACUUUCCAGCCUAACACUGCUGCUAUUGAGUUUGGCUAUUCACAGUACUGUUUGACUAGCAUUAGAACAGCGCGGCGAUAACAGCAUGUGCAACCGAAAAAGCAAUCCAUCGCCCCUCCGUGGGACAGUGCCAUUAUGACAGAGGGGGAAAAAAAACCGUCUGCUUAUUCAGUCAAGUACAACUGUUGAAUGCUACGCUGGCAAUGACACUCCUGGCUAGUGCAAACAACCCAAGGUUACAGCGUUAGUGUGUACUCGCGCAAAGCAAACACUACAGAGCGGUUCCGUUGCUGCCCGUCGCCUUGGGCAGGACCCAGGGGUUCGUUCCCUGCCUGGGGUCAGUGUGUGCUGCCCUGUGCCAAGGCUCCUCCCAGCCGUGUGCGUGCUGUGGAGUGGAUGGGCAGACACGGAUGGAUGGAUGGGACCCCUCUGUGGGGGGAAGCAGGGCGAGAGCGCUGCGGAAGGGACGAGGUGGUUGUAGAGAGGUGCUGGGCACGGCCACCUCCCAACUUCCUCGUGCUGAGUUUUCCCAUGAGCAGUGAAUGCCAAGCAGCCUCUAACCCAGAGCAUCCAGGUUAAUUACUCAUUAAUAGCACUGAAACACCCUUCACAUUCUCCAGGAAAUGUAUUCCAGCCAGCACGAAAGGCAACGCAAUGCUCUGAUUCAUCCCAGCGUCCAGGAGAACAUCGCAGCAAUAAACUGAUAAGGAAGAACAGAUGCACAUGGAAAGCAUCCCCCGGCUUCCAGUUCCAGCCUCCCACCUCAGCCGUGCAGCCGCUCCAGAACAACAUCCAUCCCCAUCGUUCCUCUUGCUUUCAAUCCACAAUCCAGAUUUGCCCGGAGACCUAUAAGAGCUCUUAAGCUAUCUUGUCUGCUCGUGUGCAGAGGAGGGGGAGAAGAAAGCCCCACGGUGGAGAAAACAAGGCUGCGUGAAUUGGAGGGGUUAGGAAAACACUCGUACCUAUGCAGGGAAGGCACCAAGUGAUGAAUCAAUUAAAUACCUGAUGGAUUAACCUGAAGUCGGGGUGUUCUCACUGCACUUUCCAUGGCAAGCAGCUUCAAAGGACCCAAUGCGUGGUGCAG